ACUCUGACGGGCCCGCGCGCACGAUGGCCGGCGCCGCGCCGCGGGUCCGCUACCUGGCGGGCUUCUGCUGCCCUCUCGGGGGCCUGGCGGCGGGCAAGCCCCGCGUGCUGUGCCAUGAGGCAGAGGUCUUCCUGUCCACCGGGAGCGAGCUCGUCUACGUGUACGACCAGGAGGGCGGGCUGCUGACCGCGGCGUUCCGGUUCCCCGACCAGGUGUGGCACCUGGAGCUGCUGGCGCCGCGCAGGUUGCUGUACGCGCUGUGCGCCCGGAGGGGCCUCUACUGCCUGUCGCUGGACCACCCGGGCAGGAGCAGGUGAGGGCGGGCCCGCGGCCUCCCUCCCGCACACUCCUGCUGCCCCCGGACUGCUUCAGAGCGAGCAGCCCCACCUCAUCGCGCUUGGGGACCCGGGCUGCCGCCAGCUCUGAAGCCUCGGCCGCCAUCCCUGCCCGAUUAUCUGGAGCCCCUGCCCCCAGCACUCUUUCUGCAAGUGUCUUGCUCACAGUCCUUAGUCUACGAGCCAGGAUGACAGGGACAGCGAGGACGGUGACCAGCCUUCCCCCGUGAUCCCUGUGGACCCCGAUGCCUGCAUCCUUCCCGAUGCUGCGCUGUGCGCGUUCACCUUGCUGGACAGUGUGCUGGUCACCCUGGUGCAGGGCCCUGCCCGAUGGAAGAUGCAGCUGUUUGAGCAGCCCUGUCCUGGGGAGGACCCCCGGCCAGGAGGCCAGAUCGGUGAGGUGGAGCUGUCCUCCUACACGCCCCCAGCCGGGGUCCCAGGAAAGCCUGCAGCCCCCCACUUCCUUCCAGUGCUGUGCUCUGUGUCACCAUCAGGCUCCAGGGUCCCGCACGACCUCCUCGGGGGCUCCGGGGGCUUCACGCUGGAGGACGCCCUCUUCGGGCUCCUCUUUGGAGCUGAUGCCACCCUCCUGCAGUCACCUGUGGUCCUCUGUGGUCUCCCUGAUGGCCAGCUCUGCUGUGUGAUCCUGAAGGCCCUGGUCACCUCCAGGUCAGCCCCUGGUGACCCAAAUGCCCUUGUCAAGAUCCUCCAUCACCUGGAGGAGCCCGUCAUCUUCAUAGGGGCCUUGAAGACAGAGCCACAGGCUGCAGAAGCUGCAGAGAAUUUUCUGCCUGACGAGGAUGUGCACUGUGACUGCCUGGUGGCCUUUGGUCACCACGGCCGGAUGCUGGCCAUCAAGGCCAGCUGGGAUGAGUCCGGGAAGCUGGUGCCCGAGCUGCGGGAGUACUGCCUCCCAGGCCCUGUGCUCUGCGCUGCCUGUGGCGGGGGUGGCCGCGUGUACCACAGCACCCCUUCUGACCUCUGUGUGGUGGAUCUGUCUCGGGGAAGCACCCCGCUGGGCCCUGAGCAGCCCGAAGAAGGCCCGGGAGGCCUGCCCCCCAUGCUGUGCCCAGCCAGCCUGAACAUCUGCAGUGUCGUCUCGCUGUCCGCGUCUCCCAGGACGCAUGAAGGUGGCACCAAGCUCCUGGCCCUGUCCGCCAAAGGCCGCCUGAUGACCUGCAGCCUGGACCUGGACUCUGAGAUGCCUGGCCCAGCCAGGAUGACCACAGAGAGUGCAGGUCAGAAAAUAAAGGAGCUGCUGUCUGGAAUUGGCAACAUCUCUGAGAGAGUGUCUUUUCUAAAGAAGGCGGUUGACCAGCGGAACAAGGCACUGACAAGCCUCAACGAGGCCAUGAACGUGAGCUGUGCACUGCUGUCAAGCGGCACGGGCCCCAGACCCAUCUCCUGCACCACCAGCACCACCUGGAGCCGCCUGCAGACACAGGAUGUGCUCAUGGCCACCUGCGUGCUAGAGAACAGCAGCAGCUUCAGCCUGGACCAGGGGUGGACCCUGUGCAUCCAGGUGCUCACCAGCUCCUGUGCUCUCGACCUGGACUCGGCCUGCUCCGCCAUCACCUACACCAUCCCCGUGGACCAGCUCGGCCCCGGUGCUCGGCGGGAGGUGACGCUACCCCUGGGCCCUGGUGAGAACGGCGGGCUCGACCUGCCCGUGACCGUGUCCUGCACGCUGUUCUACAGUCUCAGGGAGGUGGUGGGCGGGGCCCUUGCCCCCUCAGACUCUGAGGACCCCUUUCUGGAUGAGUGCCCCUCCGACGUCCUGCCCGAGCAAGAGGGUGUUUGCCUGCCCCUGAGCAGGCACACAGUGGACAUGCUGCAGUGUCUGCGCUUCCCUGGCCUGGCCCCGCCACACACACGGGCCCCCUCCCCACUCGGCCCCACCCGAGACCCUGUGGCCACUUUUCUGGAAACUUGUCGGGAGCCUGGCAGCCAGCCAGCAGGACCCGCCUCCCUGCGGGCCGAGUACCUGCCCCCAUCUGUGGCUUCCAUCAAGGUGUCGGCGGAGCUGCUCAGAGCUGCCUUGAAGGACGGCCACUCAGGCGUGCCCCUGUGCUGUGCCACCCUGCAGUGGCUCCUUGCUGAGAAUGCUGCUGUGGACGUCGUGAGGGCCCGAGCACUAUCUUCCAUCCAGGGAGUGGCCCCUGAUGGCGCCAACGUUCACCUCAUCGUCCGAGAGGUGGCCAUGACUGACCUGUGCCCAGCAGGGCCCAUCCAGGCCGUGGAGAUUCAAGUGGAAAGCUCCUCUCUGGCCGACAUUUGCAGGGCGCACCAUGCCGUUGUCGGGCGCAUGCAGACGAUGGUGACAGAGCAGGCCACCCAGGGCUCCAGCGCUCCUGAUCUCCGUGUGCAGUACCUCCGCCAGAUCCACGCCAACCACGAGACACUGCUGCGGGAGGUGCAGACCCUGCGCGACCGGCUCUGCACGGAGGAUGAGGCCAGCUCCUGUGCCACCGCCCAGAGGCUGCUACAGGUGUACCGGCAGCUGCGCCACCCCAGCCUCAUCCUGCUGUGACCAGGCGGGCCUGCCCCUGGGCUCUGGCCACGCUUCCAGCCUCUGUCACAGCCCCCCCAGGCCUCAUGGGUUAGAGGGAAACCGAGCUGGCCUGGCCAGAGCCGUCAGGGAAGGUAGGACCUGGCCACGUAGGAGCAGAACGCUCAUGAAAGUGCUUGGAGGCCGUGGAGCACAAAGCAGAUUCUGAUUGGGAGCAACCGAGGCGGGCUCUGAACCUGGCCGGUCCAGCUUCGCGUCCUCUGCUGGUGUCUCUCCUUCUCUGACCGCGGCCGCAGCCCCUGCACUCGCCUUCCUCACUGCUGGGCAGCCUUCCCACCACCGCAGCAGCCCCUGAGGCCAGGAGGCAGUGCAGGGCAUUCUGGACCCGGAGGGCCAGAGAAACAGGAUUUCUGGGGUUUGGACUUGGGGUGAGUUUGUAACUGUUGCUGCCACACCACCAGGAGCACCGGCUGCCCCUCUGGGUGGCACUACCAGGUGCCCCACGGUACCCUUGUCACACUGUUCACACCUGCCCGGCUGCCCACUCUGGGACCCCGAGGUAGGAGGGUGCUCCCUGAGACCAAAGCACAAAACAGCAUGCAGGGAGCUCCUGCAAGUGCCCGUGGUCUCGUGCCACACCAAGGAAGGGCCAGCGGGUGGCCUGUGGCCGGAAUGCUCAACAACUAGGUGCCUCCAGCCGGGGCAGUACCCAGCACUGUGCACUAUUUUCAGGGCCACUCAGGGUGGCGCUGUGGCCCGGGGGGGGGCCCUGAGCCCCAGCCCCCAGCCUCCUCCCUCAGCCUGGGCUACGGCCCACCUCCUGGUGCUGGUGUUUUCAUCUGGGGAGGGUGCUCGCGCCGCUCCCGCUGCAGGCACUGUCCGCGAUGAGUGCGGGUAGGAGCCGUGAGGUGCUUCUCUGCUGUGACAAACGACCCUGUCUGUCCGUGAA